UCGGACGUGGUGCAUGGUGCACGCCACUUGAGAGUGUUUGAUAUUUGAAUUCGGAGAAUUUCUGUGAAAGAUCUGGGUUCGACUCCCAGCGUCCGAA